rnacentral:rRNA from 1 species
GACGAACGCUGGCGGCGUGCUUAACACAUGCAAGUCGAGCGGAAAGGCCCUGCUUUUGUGGGGUGCUCGAGUGGCGAACGGGUGAGUAACACGUGAGUAACCUGCCCUUGACUUUGGGAUAACUUCAGGAAACUGGGGCUAAUACCGGAUAGGAGCUCCUGCUGCAUGGUGGGGGUUGGAAAGUUUCGGCGGUUGGGGAUGGACUCGCGGCUUAUCAGCUUGUUGGUGGGGUAGUGGCUUACCAAGGCUUUGACGGGUAGCCGGCCUGAGAGGGUGACCGGCCACAUUGGGACUGAGAUACGGCCCAGACUCCUACGGGAGGCAGCAGUGGGGAAUAUUGCACUAUGGGCGGAAGCCUGAUGCAGCAACGCCGCGUGCGGGAUGACGGCCUUCGGGUUGUAAACCGCUUUCGCCUGUGACGAAGCGUGAGUGACGGUAAUGGGUAAAGAAGCACCGGCUAACUACGUG